CUCCAGAUCCACAUUCCUUAGAGGGGUCUCCUGUCAGUCUGCCCUUGGAGAGCAGGCUUCUGUUAUCACUGCAGCACAGAAUCGGGCAGCUGUCCUUCAUGUGGAGUUGGGAGGAGGGCUGCAGGAUUUAACCCUCUGGCCCUUAUCGUGCACAGUUUCUGCCCGUGGCCCUCAAUCACAGCAUGACCUGCAGCCCACUGUCUGCAGUAAGAAGUCGUUCCCUGACCUGCUGGUUAGGUUGUGGUUUCUGAGAGAGUUUUUCCCUCUGCAGUGAUCACAUGAAAGCAGCUCUCUCAGAAAUGAACGGUCAGGAGGUUCAGGUCGCUCAACAUCUGACUGAUGGACCUGGAGUCGACUGUGAAAGUUUGGAUCUGAUGUCUUUUCCCCCACCGGCUUCACUGCACCUCAGAGGUCCUAAACCCUCC